CAAUAGCGUAUAUUAAAGUUGUUGCGGUUAAAAAGCUCGUAGUUGGAUUUCUGCCGAGGACGACCGGUCCGCCCUCUGGGUGAGUAUCUGGCUCGGCCUGGGCAUCUUCUUGGAGAACGUAGCUGCACUUGACUGUGUGGUGCGGUAUCCAGGACUUUUACUUUGAGGAAAUUAGAGUGUUUCAAGCAGGCUUACGCCUUGAAUACAUUAGCAUGGAAUAAUAAGAUAGGACCUCGGUUCUAUUUUGUUGGUUUCUAGAGCUGAGGUAAUGAUUAAUAGGGAUAGUUGGGGGCAUUCGUAUUUCAUUGUCAGAGGUGAAAUUCUUGGAUUUAUGAAAGACGAACUUCUGCGAAAGCAUUUGUCAAGGAUGUUUUCAUUAA
rnacentral:rRNA from 1 species